rnacentral:snRNA from 1 species
GGAUGUAAGGGCUAUCUGGCUGCAACAUCUGUCACCCCACUGAUCGCCAGGGUUGGCUAGGAGGGUGUCCCCUUCCUCCCUCACCGCUCCAUGUGCGUCCCUCCCGAAGCUGUGCACUUGGUCAAAGAGGACGAACAUCCCCGACAGAGGAGGACUGGUCUUCGGUCAAGGGUAUACAAGUAACUGCACUCCCCUGCUAGAACCUCCAUUCAAGCUCUCAAAAAAUUGGAAAAAAAAAUUAGCUGCUUGGGAGGCUGAGGUGGGAGCCUGAGCCCAGAGAGGUCGAGUGAGCCAUGAUUGUGUCACUGCGCUCCAGCCU